AGGAUACUACAACUUCUAAAACUUUUGCUAAAAAUGGUCUAUCUUCAAGCCGUUCUUUCUGUUACUUGAUCAUUUAAAGCGAUGUAUGUUUGAGAACUCGUCUCAUUACAAUGUAUCAUUUGGUAUGUUUCCCCAUCCUUUAUUUUGAAAGGCUGCAGACUUUUUCUGAAGCUAUGUUUCCCCAUUUUUUAUUUUGAAAGGUUUCGGACUACUUAGAAGUUAUUCAGAUUCAGGAAAGUGUUUAUAAUUUUAAUAAAGUGGUCAUUUUCUCUCCUUCCCCUUAGUCACUUGAGCCAUUUGAGAAUCAGAUACUCAGCAUGUUCAUCCCAAGCCUCUAACUUCAGCAUCGGGGAGCUGGAUGAGCAUCAUCUUUACAUCCCAGUCAGAGAGGCCCACACCUACCUCUGAAGAAAUUGUCCCAAAGACAUGCUCUGGUGAAGGAAAACUGAUGUUCCCAACAGGAUGUAUGAAAUAAAUGGGGCGCAACCCGUAGGACCAGUGCUGGCUGGAGCAGCCCACCACACAGAGAGUCAGCAGAAUAAGUCCAGCUAGAAGUUUUGGACUCGGCUCCAUUCUAAGGAACGUCAGUGUGACAAUAAAAAUAGACCCAGACUGGGUUGAGCAAAGACUUCUUUGGUGAAAAGCCUAACACUGGUGUCACUAACCCGGCAGAAGACGGAAGUGGGAGUCAUCUAUGGUUUUCACAUGCAGAGCCGGGAUUGGCAUUUCUCCUCGAGUAGGAUGCUAAACCAGUCAUUUGUUGCCCAGUGUCCUGUGAAAUAAUUACAUCUGCAAGCAUCUUGGCAUGAAGAGCAACGUCGUUCCACCAGGUGGCGCAGUACCAGGUGGCUGCUUCGCCCAGCCUCCUCUGUGGAGGUGGUCAGAUCCGUGAUAGGACACUGAAUAAUUUAAGCGCCAUUCUGACACGGAGGAGUGCAAUCUUAUCUCACUGUAAAGACCCGUGGAGCUGGUCCUUCAACACAUAUUGAAGAAAU